UCUGGCCAUCCGAGUACUAAAGGUACCGGCCAUCCGAGUACUAAAGGUACCGGCCAUCCAAUUAUUAAGGGUACUGGCCAUCUAAGAACUAAAGGUACCAGCCAUCCAAGUACUAAGGGUACUGGCCAUUCAUAAAAGUACUCAAGUCACUGGCCAUCCAAGUACUAAAGGUACCGGCCAUCCGAGUACUAAAGGUACCGGCCAUCCGAGUACUAAAGGUUCUGGCCAUCCGAGUACUAAAGGUACCGGCCAUCCGAGUACUAAAGGUACCGGCCAUCCGAGUACUAAAGGUACCGGCCAUCCGAGUACUAAAGGUUCUGGCCAUCCGAGUACUAAAGGUACCGGCCAUCCGAGUACUAAAGGUUCUGGCCAUCCGAGUACUAAAGGUACCGGCCAUCC